rnacentral:rRNA from 1 species
CCAGACUCCUACGGGAGGCAGCAGUGGGGAAUAUUGGACAAUGGACCAAGAGUCUGAUCCAGCAAUUCUGUGUGCACGAUGAAGUUUUUCGGAAUGUAAAGUGCUUUCAGUUGGGAAGAAAGAAAUGACGGUACCAACAGAAGAAGUGACGGCUAAAUACGUGCCAGCAGCCGCGGUAAUACGUAUGUCACGAGCGUUAUCCGGAUUUAUUGGGCGUAAAGCGCGUCUAGGUGGUUAUAUAAGUCUGAUGUGAAAAUGCAGGGCUCAACUCUGUAUUGCGUUGGAAACUGUAUAACUAGAGUACUGGAGAGGUAAGCGGAACUACAAGUGUAGAGGUGAAAUUCGUAGAUAUUUGUAGGAAUGCCGAUGGGGAAGCCAGCUUACUGGACAGAUACUGACGCUGAAGCGCGAAAGCGUGGGUAGCAAACAGGAUUAGAUACCCUGGUAGUCCACGCCGUAAACGAUGAUUACUAGGUGUUGGGGGUCGAACCUCAGCGCCCAAGCAAACGCGAUAAGUAAUCCGCCUGGGGAGUACGUACGCAAGUAUGAAACUCAAAGGAAUUGACGGGGGCCCGCACAAGAAGGGCGAAUU